rnacentral:rRNA from 1 species
AUUGAACGCUGGCGGUAUGCUUAACACAUGCAAGUCGAACGGAAACGAUACUAGCUUGCUAGUAGGCGCCGAGUGGCGGACGGGUGAGUAACGCGUAGGAAUCUGCCUGAUAGUGGGGGAUAGCCCGAAGAAAUUCGGAUUAAUACCGCAUAAUCUAUUCGUAGUAAAGUGGGGGACUUUCGAGCCUCACGCUAUCAGAUGAGCCUGCGUAAGAUUAGCUUGUUGGUAGGGUAAAAGCCUACCAAGGCGACGAUCUUUAGCUGGUCUGAGAGGAUGAUCAGCCACAUCGGGACUGAGACACGGCCCGAACUCCUACGGGAGGCAGCAGUGGGGAAUAUUGGACAAUGGGGGCAACCCUGAUCCAGCAAUACCGCGUGUGUGAAGAAGGCCUGAGGGUUGUAAAGCACUUUCAAUUGUGAAGAAAAGUUAGCGGUUAAUAACCGUUAGCCUUGACGUUAACUUUAGAAGAAGCACCGGCUAACUCCGUGCC